rnacentral:rRNA from 1 species
AUACGGAGGGUGCAAGCGUUAUUCGGAAUCACUGGGCGUAAAGGGUGCGUAGGCGGUUUGAUAAGUCUGAUGUGAAAUCCUAUGGCUCAACCAUAGAACUGCAUUGGAAACUGUCAGACUAGAAUACUGAAGGGGCAGAUGGAAUUAGUGGUGUAGGGGUAAAAUCCGUAGAUAUCACUAGGAAUACCGAAAGCGAAAGCGAUCUGCUGGGAAGUUAUUGACGCUGAGGCACGAAAGCGUGGGGAGCAAACGGGAUUAGAAACCCAGUAGUCC